UACGGGGGGGGCAAGCGUUGUUCGGAAUUACUGGGCGUAAAGGGCGCGUAGGCGGUGCUCUAAGUCGGAUGUGAAAACUCUGGGCUCAACCCAGAGCCUGCAUCCGAAACUGGAGUGCUAGAGUUCUGGAGGGGGUAGCGGAAUUCCUGGUGUAGCGGUGAAAUGCGUAGAUAUCAGGAGGAACACCGGUGGCGAAGGCGGCUACCUGGACAGAAACUGACGCUGAGGCGCGAAAGCUAGGGGAUCAAACAGG
rnacentral:rRNA from 1 species